CAGUCGCCGCGGUAAUACAGAGGGUGCGAGCGUUAAUCGGAUUUACUGGGCGUAAAGCGUGCGUAGGCGGCUUCUUAAGUCGGAUGUGAAAUCCCUGAGCUUAACUUAGGAAUUGCAUUCGAUACUGGGAAGCUAGAGUAUGGGAGAGGAUGGUAGAAUUCCAGGUGUAGCGGUGAAAUGCGUAGAGAUCUGGAGGAAUACCGAUGGCGAAGGCAGCCAUCUGGCCUAAUACUGACGCUGAGGUACGAAAGCAUGGGGAGCAAACAGGAUUAGAUACCCCAGUAGUCCUUGUCUCUUAUAC
rnacentral:rRNA from 1 species